CUCAACUUGCAGGAGUCCUAGCAGUCGACUCAUGUCGGGGAGUGCCGUUGGUGGGAAUCGAGGCCCUGGGGCCCCAUCGACCAUCUCAGAGCCGGGCCAGUUUCCUCAACCACAAAUGGGUUUCAGCCAAGACCGGUGGAGAAGCUCCGUUAACACCUGACUUCCCUCAGAGCGAUGCUCCGGGCUCCUCGGCCGAGCACCCAGAGGAGAUUUUGAGACUUCUGAGAUUGAGUUGUCACAGCUAUGGACAGGGAGCCCAGAAGCUUGGAGACCACUGAUUCUCCUGGAGACAUGAGCGUCUGGUGAUUUAGAUGUGGUCCUCAGCUGCGGACACAAGGGCAGGGUGAGAAACCCAAACCUUUGGGAUCACUGAUCUAGGUGUCCCCGCCAGGGUUUGAGAUGGGCAUCGGCCAAGACCGGCGGAGCAGCUCUAAUUAUUCCCCACCGUCAUCAGACCAACGUUCCGAGGUCCGGUACCGUGUUGUGGGAGGAGGCCUUGGGCGGCGAGUCCCCCCCAGUUGCGUGGCCAAGAGGCUCCGAGACCCGUCAGGAAGUCCCGCAGCCUAAAAGCCGGGCGGUGCCCAGGUUGGGGGUGGGAUGACUGAGGAGAGACUUUGACCGGCUACCGCUCCCUCGCCAGAAGCUGCCCAAUACGCUUGGCCGGCCUCGAUGAUCAUCCCUCCGCAGUUUGGACAGUCGGGUCAAUUCUCGAACUUUCCCUGCUCACAAGCUGGAGCCGUGAUCAAACCUCCUGUGCCUCCAGUUUUGCCUUCAGAAUGACCCUGCACGUCCAUAGGCCCUGAAGAAGGAACUCUUCUUUGUCUGACAAAGGUUUCUCAAGGGAAACCAGGAGCAGUUACAGACCACUCAGGCCCGGGGACACUGUCGGGGGGAAUCCAGGCUCCAGGCCCUCCUCGACCAUCUCAUAGCCGGGUCGGCCACCGCUGACGUGCAUGGGUCAGGACCGGUGAAGAGACAUCAGUCUUUCCCGGGAGAUGGACAUUUUCUUAUCCGUAGGGCCAGAGGAUGCCCAGAGAGUCACCCUCACAGAGUGGGGAAGAACUGUGGUAGUUGAUGGCUAUACUGUACCCUCCCAAAGGCUGUGUACAGUGUAAGAGUUGUAUAAAAACGGCAGAUUGGCCGCGAGAGCCCCCGCGAUGUCUGAGGAGUCUGCCAGAAUGGUAGAGAGAUUCCAGGGCAGAUGUUCUUUUCUCUCACCCCCACUCCCCAUCCCCAGAGGAGCCUCUGGAUGGUCAUGGGAAACGUCUCUCUGGGCGCUCGGUCCCAGAAGGAACUGUGGACUAGAAUCCCAGUCUGGAGCCGCCAGGGAGGACAGCUCCUCUUCUCUCCCCGACCCGGCAGCGAGCGGCUUGGGUGUGGAUGACCCCGGAACCGCGACCCACUCAUGUGAAGAAAUGGAACCAGGAGCUGCACUGCCUCUCCAAAGGGAAGAUGGAGUGGGCAUGUGUUUGUCUACGUGUACACGCGUGAUGGGGAUUCAUCUUACGAAGCAGGGGCUGCUGCUCUCAGCGCAGGGGUUCAUUCUGAAAAUGGGAGUUAACACAGCCAAUUCAUUCUGCUAGACUUGACUCUGGGACCCGAGAAGACGCAGGGACCUUAA